rnacentral:rRNA from 1 species
GACGAACCGUGCGAACGUUGUUCGGAAUCACUGGGCUUAAAGGGCGCGUAGGCGGGCUGUCAAGUCUGGGGUGAAAUGCCGCGGCUCAACCGUGGAACUGCCUCAGAUACUGACGGCCUCGAGGAAGGUAGGGGCAUGCGGAACUGUAGGUGGAGCGGUGAAAUGCGUUGAUAUCUACAGGAACUCCGGUGGCGAAAGCGGCGUGCUGGACCUUUUCUGGCGCUGAGGCGCGAAAGCUAGGGGAGCAAACGGG